GUGCUGUGUGUGAGUGUGGGUGAGUGUGUGCAUCUGUGUGUGUGUGUAUUAGAGAGGGUGUGUAUGUAUGAGUGGCUGUUAUGUGACAUUGCCACAGACUGAAGCUAAAUGUUUUAUGUUCUAUCAUAGUGGAUUAUAUAUAAUACUAUGUUCUGUUAUAUAUUUUAUGUUCUAUUAUAGCCUUAGAAAAAAUAAUCUGUGUACAGGAAAAUGGGUCAAUGAGAUAAAUGAGUCAUUGUGAAACAUGGGAAGGUGCGUCUGCGUCCAAUACUGGGGUGCAGACCGGAUCCAUUUUACUGCUUAACCAGGCAAACUUUAAAUAGGCGCUGGCCCCUUUAAGGAGGGGUUACCCUCCCAAAAUGGCUGCCUGAGAGGAAGUGGGGUGCAGGAAGUGAUGGAGGUAGGACAGGAGGAGGGGGAGUGGCAGAUGGUGAAUGUGUUUGGCAUGGUGGAAAGUUUGUGGAGAAACUGGAGGGUUCUACACGGCAUCCUGCUUGGAUCAGAUGUGUGGUGACAUGUUAAGUUACGGCAGUUGGAAGGAAAAGACCCCGAGCACUUAUUAAUACAAAGGAAUUGGCCGGGAAAGUACCAGUUUUCUCCUUCUCCAAGCCUCCCACCAGUUUGGCCAUCUGCUCUCUGUACUCUGAUGAUCCUGGUGCUCAUUCAGCAGUCCACACAAGCAACUGUGCAUUAACUAUGAGCUGUGCACAGACGGGCGCCCCCAUCUGCUGCCAAACCUGCCCCCCCCCCACAGAGGGACACACCACUGCACCCGGCGUCAGACUGGCACAGGACAGCUUCAGCUCAUUGCACACCAGCGCCUCCUGCUGGUCGGGUUGGGAACGCCCGGCUCACCUGCUUUGAAGCAGAGCAGAGCAGAAAACCGACUGUGUUCGUCUUGUGGAAAAUACUGAGGCUGUCGUUGUGAUGCGAAUACUUUCAUACAUCCAAUAUAACGGCUCAUACAGACCGUGACAGCAGACAGAAAUAUCCCCCUUUUAGCACUUCUCUGGGGGGGGGCUUCAGGUCGCCCCAGCUGUGCAGCUGAUGCGUUUCAGUGAAAACCGUUUCAUUCCGGCACGUUCUCUCUGUGCGCCCUCCUGUUGCGCCUCCCUGCUCGCGCCUGCAUUGUUCCGCAGCUGUCACUCCAACGCCCGUGCGCGAUCGCAGCCGUGGACGCCAUCCUCUCCCAGCGCCCGCGUCGCCAUGCCGGAGGGUUAGCGGCUCUCAGACCCCCGCUCGCAACACCCCCCCCCCCCCACACGCUUAAUCAGACCUGCGGAGCGACUGCUUUCAUGCGCCGCAAUCCCGGAGUGGCUUCCCGAAUCAUCUUAAAUUGGAAUUAUUCGUUCCGGCGGACCUCGUCACGACCACGAGACCUGGCGCAGCACGGAGGAGCGCCUGAGAUUUUCACUGAGUGCUGCUUUUUUUCCUCCUCUGUUCAUUUUUCUGUAUAUAUUUCUGUGUAUUAUCAUCUGUUUUUCUCUGCACUUUUGUAGUCAGGAUUCUUUUACUCGCUGAGUAA